UACAGAGGUCUCAAGCGUUGUUCGGAUUCAUUGGGCGUAAAGCGUGCGCAGGCGGUUUUGUAAGCCGGAUGUGAAAUCCCCGGGCUUAACCUGGGAAUGGCAUUCGGGACUGCAAGGCUGGAGUGCGGCAGAGGAGACUGGAAUUCCUGGUGUAGCAGUGAAAUGCGUAGAUAUCAGGAGGAACACCGAUGGCGAAGGCAAUCCCCUGGGCCUCGCACU
rnacentral:rRNA from 1 species